CCCAGACGGUCGCUGUACACUGCACAAUGGCCCGGCCAGCUCAACAGAAAGUUACAGUGUGGUGCCGGAAGUCUGAGUAACAGACACUGGAGGACUGCAGAAUGGCUGUUGGGGUUCCCUGGACACACUCUUCUCACCCUCACCCCGGUCCUACUGAGGUCCUGCACUACCCCUCUGCCCCUGUCUCUGCUUUGCAAACUCCUCUUUGUCUUUAAAACCUCAGGUCCCCUUGGAGACUCUGUGUUCUAUGCCUUCUGCAGUCACCUUGGCCGUAGCCUUCAAUGACAAGUGUCCCUCUUACUGCUGUGGACCCCUCCUGCUCGGGACUUGCUGACUGCCCAUCAGCCUGAGAAGUCCACAGUGCCUUUGCCGAGUGUCCGGAGCCCCCAGGAAAGGCCCUACUGCUGUCUUAUUGGUAUCCAGAAGAUGGGAGCGAGGUCUCCUCAGCACAUCAUGAACCUAAGCCUGUUCUCUGCCUUGAUUCUUCCUCUGCAUCUCUGGACUGUCAAUUCGUCCCUGCUCUUGACUAACCUGCACAGGGCAUGCACUUCUCAACAAAAGCCAAGCUAUGAAUGGCAGCAGAAAGACGUCCAUACUCUGUGUGCAUGUCCUCUACUGCUCCACUAACAAUGACGCUGAAAAACAAAAGAUAGAAAUUUAAAAAAGAGGAAAAAUGAAGACGGUGAUUUGUAAAUAUUGACCUAACAGAGGACAUUUUGGAAAGGAUUGAAGGAACUCCCUGUACUUUCAUACCCUCAAAGUGGCAGGAGCACACAAGUCAUCUCAGUAGCCCGCAUCUUGAGAGACUGGACUGCUCAGAGCUAACAUUCAAGACAGAAAACAGCGAUAAGUAGUAGAACAACAAAAAUGAUCAGAUGACUGAAGCUAUUCUUAAAAUAAUAUGAAAGAUCUUGUUUUGUACAGAUAUUCAUGGGAUAAGGUCUCUUCCUUUGCACUGUGGGAAUCCCUGAACACUGCAUCUGAAAGCUGAAUAAGAAACAGAGAGGUAAAGGAUGAACAGACGCAGACACAGAUGCCACGCGGGAGUCUGAGAAUGGCCUCCCUCUCGGGAGUGGAGUCACAGCAGCCCUAAGGAUCCCCUCCUUUGGGUUUUGUCUCCUUCCGUGAACUCUGAGGCAGAGGCUGAGACUCCUGAGCCUGGGGAGCCCUGAGUCCUUCGAAACCUAACACUUUCCCGUGAAUGUGCAGAGCGCACAGACCGGCGCAACAGUAAAUAUCUCGUGUGGUACACAUGCUUCACUCCUGUUUACCUUGAAUAAGUGCCCGCUACCAGUACAC
rnacentral:lncRNA from 1 species